rnacentral:piRNA from 1 species
UAGGACUACAAGUGGUGGAAGGCAGCCCCUUA